UUCUCAAGUAUUAGCAGUUGAGUUGUCAAUUCAACCACACCUGGAUAACUUAAUAUCUGCAGCAAAGUAUUUAGUAGCAAAGUAGUAUGGAAAUAACGGUAACGGUAGCAAAAGUACUAGUAACAGUUUUGUAGUAAUUGUAACAGUGGUAGCGGUAUAGUAACUACGCAAAGAGCAAUCUAACAUAUAAAAGCUGCUAGAGUACCUGCCAUUCUGGGGCCUUCGUCACGCGCUCGAGAUCUGCAUCGCUCGUUUUGCCUCGCUGUAAAGUAUUUGGUCCUUUUUUACUCUGUGUCAAAUAUCUGGCCGUUAAUUUUACUUCACAUUGUGGAUUUCGGUUUUAGCGGAUGACGACUGGGCCAUCCUUCCUCGCUGGUCCGUGUUGCAGUGUGGUUUCGGGUAAAAAAGAGGUGUGCUGGGGUGGACUGCAUCGGUCGAGCAGUGAAAAGUGAAAACCCUAGCCCCCAAUCCCCUUCCUCCCUCGAGCCCAGCCCGUUCAGCUCUUCCCUCAUCCGCCUCCGCCCUCCUCUCCCCCUUCACUCCUUCAGCCGCAAUCUCUCUGCCCCACGACAACGGCAACUUUGCUGCCGCCCCACCAGCCAGCCCGGGGUGUACCAGGUGAGCGGCGAGCCAGUGGAGUUGCCCUACCAGCCGUACGGGACGUAGCUGGCCUUCAUGGGCCGUCAUUGGCAUGCUCGACCACGGUCGUCGCCAGGGCCGCUCACUCAGGCUGCUCGAGUCGCCCACAAGCACCGGCAGGUCGCUUUCGCUCCUGCGCUGCGCUCGCCUGGCAGAGCUACUGCCUGCUCCGUGUGCCCCCCACCGUGCCGACCCCCCUCCUCCAUGGCGGCGCCUUUGUCCCUAACGACACCCAGCAGCAGCCCACUCCCGGCAUCCCGGAGAAGGCAGGGGCUGCCGAGAAGAAGAAUGCGCCGACCAUCUACUACGUCGUGACGCACUCUCAGAUAACCCAGGUGGUCCGGGAGCUGCGCAAGAUGAUGGCCAUCUUGGUAGCUAAAAUGUUACCAUCUCAGUGCACUCCCUGCCUCUUUUUUCUCAUUCAGAAAAGGAAAUGCAUUAUCCAACCAAUGUCAAGUAGCAGUGGCAGAAAUGAAGCCAAUCCAUGUAUUUAAUCAUCAUGUAGUAGUGGGUGUUGAUGCAACCGUAAUCCCCAGGAGCCUUUCUGGGCGGGCUCCAAUGUUCUUAAGUUAAACUGCAUGUAGUUUGACCAGUCAGUAAUCAUGCAAUGCAGGCCUCAAGGAAGCACUAUUGCGUCAAUAAGGCCGUAUGCAUGGCGUUGAUGAGGAAUGCAAAAAGCUCCUAGACGACAAAGUUCAUGGAUGCCCAGAAUUCAAAAACUGAGUCGUCGCCCAUCUCUUCAGACCGAUGGCUGCUAUGAAGUUCAUGAUAUUGAGGAUCUUCCUAGGGUUGGAAGACAGGUCAAAGGAUGUCCAUAUUUUGCUGCACAAACCAUGGCAAAAGCAGUCGAAUUGUCAGGAGAGCAAUGGACAUUGAUAUCACUGGCUCAAUUGUUAUUCUCGAUGAAGCGCAUGGAGUGGAGUCGGCCAUCUGGAUGUUUGCAGAUCAGUCGAAGAAGAGAGGAAGGAUCUUGAGGAAGAGUCAAGAACAAGGUGAACAUCUUGCCCGUCGCAACCCGACGGCUGAGGCGGCAAUGAGCAGCGCCCAGCUGGAAGAGGCCGUCAACCUUGAUAUUUUCUUCAGUUUGGUAUUGGCCAAAAUUCUGUAUCCCUGAUUGCUCUACACUUACUGCUCCGGUGAGUUCUUCCCCCAUUUUCCUCUUUGAUUCCUUGCUUCCGUUGUUCAACAUGAUCUACUUUCUAAGUUUAUCAAGAUUUUGGUGGCGUAGCUGGUUUACAGGCUAUAAUUUUAUUUCAACCAAGUGUAUGUGCUAUGAUAUUAAGGUUACUGGGACAAAUGGUGUUUCUGUAAGGCUAGACCUAUUUCUUCUCUUCCUAAAUCAGUGAUGCACUAAUUAUCUUAACUAUUCUAUGAAUCUCGUCUAUCAUCCGACGAACAAAGCUUGCGGCGCAUGUUUGAGUUUAUUCCAAUUGUUGCACAAUUUGUUCUUCUGGAAAAGUCGUUGCAGAAUUUUAAUGGCGUCAUAUUUCCUUUAGAGAAAUCUUCUACUGAAUUUUUAUUUCCCUGAUACAUGCUUAUCAUUUUUUUGCCAUACAUGCUUAUCAUUUGGCAUAAUGUUAUUUUGGACACUUAAUUUUUUCUUGUCUUCCACAUUUUAAUUCAAGGAGCAGUGGUAGAGUUUGCAAUCUAUUGUGGCCUUGCACCUCUUCUAAUCUGUUGCUGGAGAAUGAUCCUAGGCCUCAUUAGUUAGCUUGAUGUAUUUUUUAGGAUACGCUUGAGGCUUGCGUCUGCUUUUACGUGUAUUUACUGUUGUCUUUGGAAAUCUGAUUUCGGCAAAUCCACUGGAUUUGGAGCAACGUUCAGAGGUAGGCACAACACAAGCAUGUUUAGUUGUUUGACAAUUUUGUUUGUUUUUCUGAUUGAAGAUGGAUGCUAACUACUUGAUUCUAAGGUGAUUCGAGUCGCUUGAUAAAAGUAGAUGCAGAUUAUCUGCACUUAUCUCAUACUGAUGCUUCCCUUUCUAAAAGCAAGUGAAUCCGGUCAUUCCUGCCAAGAUAUAUUUUAGGUUACACUAACCUGACCGUAUUGACCGUAUAUACUACUGGCAUACAAAAUUGAUUAGGUGGUGACACAAUGUCCCUUAUUAAGUGUUGCUGUACCUACUGCUAAAUUAACCAUGCACAGUGACACAAUGAUGUGUUUGAUCUUCGAAUGUUUCUUCACUCUGAAACCCAGGUUAGACUUGUCCCCUGUUAAAUCUGUGGUUAUACCUUCUGCUAAAUUAAGCAUGCACUUUCAUUUGCUCUAUUAUAUUCUCCAAAUGAAAACGGAUAGACGAAUUCUAAAUGGUCGUAAAACUCUAGGGUAAAUCUUUGCUGGGUCAUAUGUGAAUUUGGCCUCCAGUCAUUUACUUAGGUUUCUGGAUUUGCUUGGAUUAUGGAAAGUUUAGCUCACGAGUGUAGCCACUUCGCCAUUUGUUUAUUUGAUCGAAUAACUUGUAUCUAUUUCUUUUUUAACAAGAUCGUGCUGCUCUUGAUUAUUUGCUUUAUGUUUUUGAUUGAGCCGAGCGAGGAGAACCAACACUAUUUAGCUUUUGGGGUCUCUGUUUCAAAUGACUCGACGUGGCCUUGGCGACACUGGCUUGUAUAGGAAGAGGAUGCUGAUGACUCCUGCUAGAGAGCUCAUCGACGACUGCAACAAGCAGUCCCAAGGGAAAAGGAGCGAUCACCCCACCAAACUUUUUUGGUCGAUCUGGGGGAGGAGCUGGACCGAACGAUUCGCCCCAGGCCCCCACGCGAAUAGUUGCCCUGCAGGCAAAAACAAAACUUUGACUAGGCCUUUACAACCUCCAAUUAGGCUAAAAAAUGGCCCUGUUUUUUGUGACGCCUCAACACUUGGAUCAUCGCUCGAGGUUAUCGCUUUUGAGUUUCAGAUCCAUUUAUCAAGGAUGACUCUGCUUGAUGUCGCCGCAUACCAGCAGAAGAUAAAGCUUAGCCAUAGACUGGAAGACUGGGGCUAUAUAGAUUGCUUUCUAAAACCAAUGCAGAUCACCCUGCUGAAGAAGAAGGAGAGGAAGUUAGAAAUCAGUUUUCAGUUUUACAGGUGCAAAAUCAACUCAUUCCACUGUAAUACUGGACAUCCAGAUGUCCAGGAUGUCGGAAGCAUCCGCGUUGCAUUCAUGAAUCUGACAUACACAUGUGAUGUUCGCUCCGGUUCCUCCUUCUCUACCCAGCAGUAUGGGUAACUCAAAGCAUAGAUCUGAUUGUGCUUCUUGCAGUCUAUGCUUCCUAUCUCCGGGUCAUCCGCCUCCCAAAGACUACUCCGAGGAGAAUCGAAAUAACAGUCAGUCGUGGAUGGAUUAGAAUGGAAUACUUAUUACCUUGGUGACAAUGUCGGGCGGGCGUUGAAUCGUGGACAUGUCCCCCAUGGAUCUAGGCGGCUGGGCGAACAGAUGGACCGAGCUCCCUCCUCUGCCCAAGAAGCAGCCGAGCUCCCUCCUACGCCCAAGAAGCAGCCGAACUCCCUCCUCCGCCCAAGAAGCAGUCGAGCUCCCUCCUCCGCCCAAGAAGCAGCCGAACUCCCUCCUCCACCCAAGAAGCAGCCGAGCUCCCUCCUCCGCCCAAGAAGCAGCCAGGGAAGCAGCACCGACGACCGGAACAACAUGGCGGAUCCAAAUCGCCAGUCUCCUCUGUCCAGAGCUGAACUGAGUGGCUGCCCCCAUGAGAGGACACGGGCACAACCAAACCCACACACACCAGACACGCGUGCAUGGUGGCUUAUCCGGUGGGAGACUACCGCUUGCUCCCGCUGAACCAUUGUGUCCCACAACGCUUGCACCUGUCCACCCGUGAACGCGGUGUCCCACUGCCGCUUGCACCUGCCCACCUGUGAACUGCCGCUUGCACCCGUGAAUGUUGUGGCUCACCUGGAAAAUGCAUAUCUGAGCGCUCGCAGGUGCCAGCCAUCUAUUCCAAGGGGAGAAAAAAAACUCUACUCCCAAGGAGUUUUUCUUUUCUUUCUAAAGGGUCUAUUAUUCUCAGGUACUCUCUCCGCCCCAUAAUAUAAAAUACUUUUUGACAUUACAUCAGUGUUAAAAAACGUCUUACAUUAUGGGACGGAGGGAAUAGGUUUUAUUCACAUAAACAAGUGUGACGACCGGUCAAAAUCUUACCACUCAAUUAUUAUUUUCAAAAAUGAUCCAUAUCUA